GAUGAACGCUGGCGGCGUGCCUAAUACAUGCAAGUCGAACGAAACUUCUUUAUCACCGAGUGCUUGCACUCACCGAUAAAGAGUUGAGUGGCGAACGGGUGAGUAACACGUGGGCAACCUGCCCAAAAGAGGGGGAUAACACUUGGAAACAGGUGCUAAUACCGCAUAACCAUAGUUACCGCAUGGUAACUAUGUAAAAGGUGGCUAUACUACCGCUUUUGGAUGGGCCCGCGGCGCAUUAGCUAGUUGGUAGGGUAAAGGCUUACCAAGGCAAUGAUGCGUAGCCGAAUUGAGAGGUUGAUCGGCCACAUUGGGACUGAGACACGGCCCAAACUCCUACGGGAGGCAGCAGUAGGGAAUCUUCCACAAUGGGCGAAAGCCUGAUGGAGCAACGCCGCGUGGGUGAAGAAGGUCUUCGGAUCGUAAAACCCUGUUGUUAGAGAAGAAAGUGCGUGAGAGUAACUGUUCACGUUUCGACGGUAUCUAACCAGAAAGCCACGGCUAACUACGG
rnacentral:rRNA from 1 species